rnacentral:rRNA from 1 species
AUUGAACGCUGGCGGCAGGCCUAACACAUGCAAGUCGAACGGUAACAGGAAGCAGCUUGCUGCUUCGCUGACGAGUGGCGGACGGGUGAGUAAUGUCUGGGAAGCUGCCUGAUGGAGGGGGAUAACUACUGGAAACGGUAGCUAAUACCGCAUAAUGUCGCAAGACCAAAGAGGGGGACCUUCGGGCCUCUUGCCAUCGGAUGUGACCAGAUGGGAUUAGCUUGUUGGUGGGGUAACGGCUCACCAAGGCGACGAUCCCUAGCUGGUCUGAGAGGAUGACCAGCCACACUGGAACUGAGACACGGUCCAGACUCCUACGGGAGGCAGCAGUGGGGAAUAUUGCACAAUGGGCGCAAGCCUGAUGCAGCCAUGCCGCGUGUAUGAAGAAGGCCUUCGGGUUGUAAAGUACUUUCAGCGGGGAGGAAGGGAGUAAAGUUAAUACCUUUGCUCAUUGACGUUACCCGCAGAAGAAGCACCGGCUAACUCCGUG